rnacentral:rRNA from 1 species
AUUGAACGCUGGCGGCAGGCCUAACACAUGCAAGUCGAACGAGUGGCGGACGGGUGAGUAAUGUCUGGGAAACCGCCCUAUGGGGGGGGAUCACUUCUGGACACGGUAGCUAAUACCGCAUACCCUCGUUUGCCCCCAGAUGGGAUUAGCUAGUAGGUGGGGUAACCGCUCACCUAGGCGACGAUCCCUAGCUGGUCUGAGAGGAUGACCAGCCACACUGGAACUGAGACACGGUCCAGACGCCUACGGGAGGCAGCAGUGGGGAAUAUUGCACAAUGGGCGCAAGCCUGAUGCAGCCAUGCCGCGUGUAUGAAGAAGGCCUUCGGGUUGUAAAGUACUUUCAGCGAGGAGGCGUUACUCGCAGAAGAAGCACCGGCUAACUCCGUGCCAGCAGCCGCGGUAAUUC